CACAAGACGCUGUAUUACAAAUUUUCUAUAACUUUCUCAAAGAGCUUUAAUUUCUCGUCUUUUUAUAUUUAAUGUCGAUAUGCUGAUAAUACAGAUUUUGUCUAUAUUUUCAAUAUUAUUUGCUCAAUAGAACAUUAUUAUUGUCAAAAAUCUGUAGUAUAUAGAAACCCAUGAACAUACACAUAAAGAAAUGCUUAGUGGUAGUAAUGUAAUUUUUUAAUUUAUAGGUACUACAAAUUCUGGCAAGUCUUAUACCUUGCAAGGGACCGCUACUUCACCUGGAAUUAUACCACGAGCACUGGAAUUUGUGUUUAACAAUAUUACAAGAAGACCAAAUCCAUUUUAUAAACCUGUGCAUUAUAGCGACGUUAUCAAUCUUGACGCACUUGAACGUGCACGAGAGCUUGAAGCAAAAACUAAAUUGCUGACAUUCAGUUCCGUAGAGGAGCAUCAGUACUUAAAUACCUACAAACAAAUGCAAAAAUUGUUGCAAGAAGAAUCAAUUAGCCCCAGUCAGUGUUAUGAUGCUCAUUACUCAGUUUGGGUUUCAUUUGCGGAAAUCUAUGAUGAAAUUGUAUAUGAUUUAUUGUCAAAUGAAUGCCAGGAAAAGAGGAUACCUUUGAAAUUAGUAACGGACUCUAAUGGCAGAGCCUUUAUAAAAAAUUUAAAGACUAUUUAUGUUAACUCGGCGGCAGAAGCUUACCAAAUCUUGAUGGCAGGGCAAUAUAAUUUAAAAAUAGCCGCUACUGCAUUGAAUGAAAACAGCUCAAGAUCUCAUUGUAUAUUCACAAUUAUAUUGUUAAAAUAUUAUGCAGAAAAUUUACCAGAUAGCGUUGAAGUGUGCACGUUUUCCUUUUGUGAUCUGGCGGGCUCGGAACGUUUAAAGAAGACGUUGAAUAUCGGGGACAGAUUGAAAGAAACGCAAAAUAUUAACACUAGUUUACUAGUGUUAGGCAAGUGCUUAAAGUCCAUCCACGAAGGACAAUUGACAAGAACGAAGACUGAUACCGUGGGACCAUUCCGAGAAUCAAUAUUAACCAGAUUAUUCUAACGAGCAUUAUCGGGGAAGGAAGGAUCUCGCUUUAAUAGUUAACGUCAAUCCUCUGCCAAAUUUGUAUGUGGAACCAAAAUGUUCUAAAUUUUGCUGCCAUCACAAAAGGAAUUAUUAUAGAAAAGAAGAAGCAAAAGAAAUCCAAAUCAAGAUUUUCCCAAAUAGUCAAUCAAAGUAUGCACACUGUGACCGACUGGGAAAACGCAGAAGUGGAAAGUGAGAAUUGGCAGUGUACAAACAGUGUGUCCAUUACUUCGGAAGAAUAUAUGGUCUUCUUGCAAAUGAGAAUGAAAGAUUGAAAAAAGAGAUUACUCUUUUAAAGAAUUCAGCUUUAAUUCAGAGUUUCAAAGACUUUGAAAACCGACAGGAGAUGGCCAAGAAAUACAUUGCGAUGAUAAACGAGCUGAUGGUCAUUUGGAAACAGCGGGGAAAUUAUGUCGAAACCCAACACGAAGACGUCCUCGAAAGGAUUGUGAAACAAGUUGAAGAAUUGUACAAGGAAGAGUUGAAUUAUUUGUUGAAGAAGCCAAAAAGUCAAAGCGAUUGUAAUGACGAUGAUAACGUUGAAGAUGAUGACAAUCUAAACUUAAUUGUUAAAAUAAUAGAGAGAUAUGGAUGAGCAUACUUGCAAAGGAAUCGCUGAAAUUAUUUGACGACUCGUUUAAUAAUUCAGUCCUGGAUGUGAAACUCAUAUUCCGCCGCCUCCGCUCGUGGAAUACGAUUGUUUGUUACAUUUGAAAUCCAGUAUGAUCCCUAGAAGAUUGCAAGCAGUCGACGCAUCUAGCAAAGCCAAAAUAGUAGAUCUACAUCCGUACCAUUCACUUAAAAAGAUUCCAGUCAUGGAUUUUGAUCCUGUACAAUGUUUCUUGAAAGAUUUAAGAGACGGUUACGGGGACUAUGCCUUGUUUUUCCAUGAUACUUAUGGUGGCUCGGUAAUCGGCGUUCUGUUGAAACCCACCGCUCUCGAGCGUAAAGAUUUCAAAGUGUCGGACACCGAUUGCAGGAAACUCGACGCCGAUGGCAAACUUAUCUUAAACAUUUCAGCGAUGAUCGAGGACUUUUACACUCUGGGGAGAGGUAUCGUACGCACGAUCGAUAUUCCGAACAAAAGACUUUCCUUGACGUUAAGGGUCAACUACGUAGACGCGAAAGGAUCCCGAAGAUACAUCUCUAUUUAUUAUUAUGGAGCUGUGCUCGUUUCGCAUUCGCCCACUUCGAGGACAAUCUAUCGUUCAGAUAGGGUAACGGUGGGAAAUUUGUUUAUUUAAUAGAGGGGUCUUCCGGGAUGUGGCCACUCUGCAUCCAUACGAUGGUGUACCAAACUAUUGAGUGACGCACCAUAUGGUUUCAUAAAAUGUAGUAUACUUUUUAAUUCAAAGGAGUA